AACGAACGCUGGUGGAGUGCCUUAUACAUGCAAGUCGAGCGAGGCUUCGAGCCGAGCGGCGAACGGGUGAGUAACGCGUGAGUAACCUGCCCUUUAGUUGGGGAUAACUAUUCUAACGGAUAGCUAAUACCGAAUAUAGACGAUUGUUUAAUACAAUUGAUCAAAAGACAGCAAUGUCGCUGAAGGAUGGACUCGCGUAUGAUUAGCUAGUUGGCGGGGUAACGGCCCACCAAGGCGACGAUCAUUAGCCGGCCUGAGAGGGUGAUCCGCCACACUGGGACUGAGACACGGCCCAGACUCCUACGGGAGGCAGCAGUGGGGAAUUUUGGACAAUGGGCGCAAGCCUGAUCCAGCCAUGCCGCGUGCAGGAUGAAGGCCUUCGGGUUGUAAACUGCUUUUGUACGGAACGAAACGGUCCUUUCUAAUAAAGGGGGCUAAUGACGGUACCGUAAGAAUAAGCACCGGCUAACUACGUG
rnacentral:rRNA from 1 species